GUGCCAGCAGCCGCGGUAAGACGGAGGGGGCAAGCGUUGUCCGGAAUCACUGGGCGUAAAGCGCGUGUAGGUGGUCUGGUGCGUCGGCGCUGAAAGCUCUGGGCUCAACCCAGAGAAGCGUGCCGAUACGACCGGACUUGAGGCAGAGAGAGGGUAGCGGAAUUCCGGGUGUAGUGGUGAAAUGCGUAGAGAUCCGGAGGAACGCCAGAGACGAAGGUGGCUACCUGGCUCUGACCUGACACUGAGACGCGAUAGCGUGGGGAGCGAACCGGAUUAGAAACCCUGGUAGUCC
rnacentral:rRNA from 1 species